AGAGAUUCAAUGUGGCCAUGACUCGAGCACAAGCCUUAUUGAUUGUAGUCGGAGACCCGAGAGUUUUGAGAACUGACGCAACAUGGAACAAAUUCAUCCAUUACUGCUACGAAGAAGGGGGCUACAGAGGCAUUCCACUGUCUGAUGAAGAAGAGGAAGAUACACUGACUGAUGAAAACUCACCAAGCUUCCGAGAAGAGUGAUCAGCAACAGAGCACCCUGACAGAGCCAACACACCUUCUACGCUCACCUUUGGCUCAUGUAUGAGCAACUAUAAUAAACAACUCCAAGAAACUUCAA